UAGCUGCUUUACGUAGUGUUUUAAUAAAUAGGUUCAUAAGUCUCAUUCAUCUUUCUUACAGGCACGAGAGUAAAAGAGUGUUUGAAGGA